GCAUCCAGUGACCUCAGGCUGAACUGCCCAA
rnacentral:piRNA from 1 species